UAGGGAAUUUUGCGCAAUGGGGCGAAAGCCUGACGCAGCAACGCCGCGUGAUUGAUGACGCUCUUCGGAGUGUAAAGAUCUGUCAGUGGGGACGAACAAUGACGGUACCCACAGAGGAAGCACCGGCUAACUCCGUGCCAGCAGCCGCGGUAAUACGGAGGGUGCAAGCGUUGUCCGGAAUCAUUGGGCGUAAAGAGUUCGUAGGUGGCAUGUAAAGUCUGGUGUUAAAUACUGGGGCUCAACUUCAGUUCGGCACUGGAUACUUGCAAGCUAGAAUGCGGUAGAGGUAAAGGGAAUUCCUGGUGUAGCGGUGAAAUGCGUAGAUAUCAGGAGGAACAUCGGUGGCGUAAGCGCUUUACUGGGCCGUAAUUGACACUGAGGAACGAAAGCCAGGGUAGCAAAUGGGAUUAGAUACCCUGGUAGU
rnacentral:rRNA from 1 species